rnacentral:rRNA from 5 species
CUCUCGGCAACGGAUAUCUCGGCUCUCGCAUCGAUGAAGAACGUAGCGAAAUGCGAUACCUGGUGUGAAUUGCAGAAUCCCGCGAACCAUCGAGUCUUUGAACGCAAGUUGCGCCCGAGGCCGCUUGGCUGAGGGCACGCCUGCCUGGGCGUCACGCCAAACA